rnacentral:tRNA from 1 species
GCGCGCUUAGCUCAGUGGUAGAGCAGCGCUUUUACACAGCGAAGGUCAGGGGUUCGAAUCCCUUAGCGCGCACCA